rnacentral:rRNA from 1 species
UACAGAGGUCCCAAGCGUUGUUCGGAUUCACUGGGCGUAAAGGGUGCGCAGGUGGUCGGGUAAGUCUGAUGUGAAAUCCCGCAGCUUAACUGCGGAAUGGCAUUGGAUACUAUUCGGCUAGAGGGUUGGAGGGGGGACUGGAAUUCUCGGUGUAGCAGUGAAAUGCGUAGAUAUCUGGAGGAACACCGGUGGCGAAGGCGGCAUCCUGGACCGGCACUGACGCUGAGGAGCGAAAGCCAGGGGAGCAAACGGG